UUUCUGUGGAGGGGAAUCUGGCAUCAUAGUUUAAGAACGCUCAAGUAACCUUACUGAGUGGUCCACACAGGAAGAAAUUGCAGCCUUCAGCCAGUAGCCAGGAUCACCUUUCUUGCCAUUUUAAAUUCAGUCACAUCCUUGUCAGUGGGAAUUAGAACGAAGGGCAGCAUUCCACUAAAGUGACCAACAGUGCUUUUCUCAAAUCAAGUAAACUUCUUUGUGGUGACGCAAUAUGCCAGUGACCAUGGACAGUGACCAUGGACGGAAGCUCCAACACAGUGGUGACAUCAGCCUUGGUGACAGAAGGAUGACAGAGUGUGCAGUGAUCUGCACAGGCACAUGGUGGGCUGUAGGUGAAUCCAGUCUGUGCUGGUGUGCAAAGGAUUGUGGGUAAGCUGAAUAGACUUAAAAGGACAGCAGUCGGAACUCUCACUCAUUUUGGCUGCAACUUCUUCUCCUGAUCAGAUGCAUCUUGGCAGAGAUGCUCUAGGCAUCCAUCCUCUAUGUCUACUUCUCUGGGGAACCUAACAUGUGAGACUCUGCUAGUCUAUAAAUUUUUAGACCCCUCUACAGCCAUGAGCAACCUUUACCAGAUCUGAUAAUUGUUUAUCUUAUGGAACUAAAUUUUGAUAACCAUAUUCAGACUUUAUAGACCUAGCAUACACUUGACCCUUGAUGACAACUGCUUAUUUUGCCUUUUACCUAUUUCACUCUAAUAAACCAUGUAUUAUUUAAACCA